UCCCGUUUAGCUCAAUCGGAUUAGAGCGUCCGGCUUUUAACCGGAAGGUUGCGAGUUCGAGUCUCGCAGUGGGAG
rnacentral:tRNA from 1 species